rnacentral:rRNA from 1 species
ACGAAGGUGAAACAGCAAACAGCUCAUUAAAUCAGUUGAAACGUGUAGUGCUCUAAGUGUAAUCGGCUAUCGUGGGUAACUCUCUCGCUAGGCGUGCAUAGUCACAUCUAUAGGGGGGAAGCUCUUGUUGAGUUACGCUGUGAAAAUGACUGCGAGGCAGGCACUACCGGCUUCUGACGCAUCACUAGGUUGAAGCAGUAAUGCUCCUUCAAUAGGAUCACGCGAUCGAGGUAUAAGGGUACGACUUCGGAGAAUGAGCAUGAGAGACAGCUCAUAUGUCCAUGGAUGGCAGCAGGCGCGUAAAUUGCCCAAUGUACAGCAGUACGAGGCAGUGACGAAGAAUCUUGAGCUGGCUUUGCCAGUAUUAAGCUGAGCAGGGUUUAGAAAACCCUGUCAACGCGAUUAGUGGGAGAGCAUGGUGCCAGCAGCCGCGGUAAUUCCAUCACUGAUAGCUUUUCCGUACGUUGCUGCAGUUAAAAAGCUCGUAGCCGUCCCUAGCGCAAGCGUGUCACUUUGAGAAAAUCGGAGUGUUCAUCACAGGGUAGCUGUUGCACAGCACAGCAAAGCAUGACGUCGUGACCUAGCAAUAGGCCGCACGUGCUAAAUGGUUGCACGGGACUGAUCGUAUUUGAUGGGGACAGGUGAAAUAGGAUGAUCCAUCAAGGACGCUCUGCAGCGAAAGCUGUCGGUAAGUGCCUGCCAGUUGGUCAAGAGCGAAAGUGCGAGGAUAGACGAUGAUUAGAAACCGUUUUAUUUCGUGCCUUAAACGAUACCAUCUCAGAAGCGGCUCACGAGAGUCGCAUCUCAAGGGAAACCGGAAGGCUUCGGGUUCUGGGGGAAGUAUGAUUGCAAGAUUGAAACUUGAAGGUAUUGACGGAGGGAUACCACAAGACGUGGAGUCUGCGGCUCAAUUUGACCCAACACGCAAAUCUUACCAGACCCAGAUGCUUUACGGAGCAACAGAUUGAGAGUUCUUUUGCGAUUGGGCAGUUGGUGGUGCAUGGCCGCUCCUAGUUCGUGGUGUAAACUGUCUGCCUUAUUGCGUUAACGAGCGAGACAACGGCCUCAAGUUUUGAGGGAGCGCCAGCACAAGCUGGACGAACGGCGUUGCUCUAGCAGGUCUGUGAUGCCCAGUGCUCUGAAUGUCAACGUGAAGAAAUUCAAACAAGCGCGGGUAAACGGCGGGAGUAACUAUGACUCUCUUAAGGUAGCCAAAUGCCUCGUCAUCUAAU